GAUGAACGCUGGCGGCGUGCCUAACACAUGCCAGUCGAACGGAAAGGCCCUGCUCUUGUGGGUUGCUCGUGUGGCGAACGGGUGAGUAACACGUGAGUAACCUGUACUUGACUUUGGGAUAACUUCAGGAAACUGGGGCUAAUACCGGAUAGGAGCUCCUGCUGCAUGGGGGGGGUUGGAAAGUUUCGGCGGUUGGGGCUGGACUCGCGGCUUCUCAGCUUGUUGGUGGGGUCGUGGCUUAGCCAGGCUAUGACGGGUACCCGGCAUGGGAGGGUGACCAGCCACAUUGGAACUGUGAUACGGCCCAGACUCCUGCAUGAUCCAGCAGGGGGGAAUAUUGCACAAUGGGCGGCAGCCUGAUGCAGCAACGCCGCGUGCGGGAUGACCGCCGUCGGUUUGUAAACCGCUUUCGCCUAUGACGAAGCGUGAGUGACGGUAAUGGGUAAAGGAGCACCGCCUAACUCCGUG
rnacentral:rRNA from 1 species